rnacentral:lncRNA from 1 species
GGGGGAUCCUGGCUGGGCCCCACAGAGGUCUGCCCCAGGGCACAGCCUGCCACCUUCCAUGUGUGGAAGGCCACGAGGACCCGAGGGGCCAGACAGCCCCUCCCUGGCCCAGACCACAGGGUCUGGAAUGUCCCCAGAGGCCUGUAGGGGAGGCCUGGUCUUCGGCUGGGCACUACCGGGAGGUGGUGGACUCUGCUUCCCGGUCCUGGUGGGAGCUGCCCUGUGGUGCCCUGCCCUGCAGUCCACGUGGGGCUGGUCCCACCGAGAAGGCUCUGAGUGUGCCCAGGCCGUUCCUUCUCAGUGGUUAAGUGCUGUAUGUGAAUGUCGAGGUCCUGGGACCUUUUCCUGCCAGUCAGGGGCAGGGGGGUGGAGAUGGCAGGAGGUGGGAAAGGCAGGCUGGUGUGCUGACGGGUGACAACAAAUCCCACCAUUAGGACAACUGUGAUGCACGAAUUUGAAAACGUGGAGAAAAGUUAAAAAAAAAAAGGCCGGGUCUGGCUCUGAAGAUGAGGAAGGGGACUCUAGAAUUUGGAUGCGGCGGAGUGGACCCUCCCUGGAGCUCAGGAGGGACCUGCCCUGCCGCACCGCAGCUGUAUGGAGCUCAGGGAGGCCGGUGAGGGAGGGACUGUCAUCUAGGGGAAAAGGGCCAGCCACGCUCUUCUCCUGCAGGCGGGGCCCGUGCCACCCAAGGUGCCACCGGUGCCUUUCCUGUGCCGGAGGUGGCCGCUUCCCGCUCAGCCCCGCGAACCACGCAGAGGUCAGCUGCCACGGGAGGCUCUGCCUGGCCAGGCCAGCCCUCCCGUGCCACGACAGUGGGCAGUCACAGACGACGACCGAGGAGACCGGGGAGGGAGCAAAAGAGGCGGCGCCGAGUUCUGGGGCGCGCUCCGCUCCGCACGGGACAGCGCGCAGCUCCCUGCCCUGGGAGCCGGGGAGCCCGCCCAGGCGUCUCCCGUUCUUUGGCCAAGAAGAAACCGGUCUCGCUGCUUGACCCGGGCUGGGUUUCGGUUACUGCCCACACGGUCCCUAGAAGGGAAGAGGACCUACUCUGUGUGGAAACCGGUAACGUUCCUGCGGCGCGCACGCGCAGUGCACCGCGGCGCUGCCCGAGUCCCGCCCCUCCCUGGACACAGCCCCGACCGCGCCUGGUGGGAGGCGGCCCGCGGUGCUUCUGACCCACGGCGGGCUGCUGUUGGAGGCAGGGGAGGACAACGCGGCACGGAGGACAAGAGAAGUGUUUUCAGCAGCUGCAGGGUUCUCGGGCCUGCGCCGAGCUGGGCACACCCGCGUUUGGGAAGCUGGUGUUGACCUUCAUACGGUUUUUCCCCUUGUUGCUGCCACGGAGCCCAGGACCCCACACACGCUGGGCAAGUGCUCUGCCGCCGACCCACCCCCCAGCCCUCGCCUUUUUCUUUCUUUCUUUUUUUGAGACAGGAUCUCGCUGAGUUGCCCAGGCUGGGCUUGACCUUAUGAUCCUCGUGCCCCAGCCUCCUGAGUCACUGGGAUGACAGACAUGGCCACCCCAGGUUGAGUCUUAGAUGUCAUCACAAGGCGCUUUAUAAGAGGGAAGCUUGGCAGAUCUGGAGGACAGGUGACAGUGGAGGUGGGGACAGUAGUGAUGUGUCCACAGGCCAAUGGAUGCCAGAAGUCCCCAGCCGCAGGGAGAGGCCGGAAGGACCCGCCCCUGGAGCCCUGGGAGGGAGCUCAACCCGCCCACCCUGCACUUUGGUUUGCAGCCCUCGGUGGGAGGUCACUUGUUGUAACAAUGUUACUAUUGGGGUAUCCCCAACAAAGGAUUGAGCAAGACCUGUAGGAGUAACGGCCAGCGCAGGUCCACCGAAGCUGGAGGGGUGGCGCUGUGAGGUGCCGCAGAAAGGCCAGCAAGAGGGGCGGAGGCGGCGUGGGCAUCUCCUGUCCUGCGUGCUGGGCGGACCUGACUGAAGACCUCGCCCCACUGGCUCCUGCUAGAUGUUUUAGGGCACCAAAUUCUUGGCGUCAUCAUGAGUGAUGAGCCCUCCUGGCGAGAGUCGUCACGGUGACGGACAGGAUGACUCAUGUCCAGUCUAGCCCUCCACCACCCUGCCUCCCAUCACGGAGACCCUGAACUCCAACCUGCAGCCAGAGAGGGCCCAGCUUCCUGGCUGCUGGGCCCCCAGCUCAGCCAGGCCUGGCCCUCCCGACCUCGUCCUCCAGGGCCAUGGCAGCUCACCGGGACCUGGCACGGCUUCCCAGGCUCCCAGUCCCUCCCACCCCUGCACAAAGCCCUGGCUUCCACCCCCAGCUCCACAAAAAACAAAACCACAACUAAAACUACCCCCGAAGGACACUGGCCCCCUCUUGUGCCUGGGAGCUGGGCCGUGGGCACUCUCAGAACAGGGCGGCUCGCAAGGUGCUGGUCAUGAAAGGAGCAAAGCUGCCCACUGGGCACCUGCUGGAGUUCAGAGGUGACAGACACCCUGCCCAGCUGCCACGUGGCAACCAAGGCCCAAAGCCCCUUUUGGAGUGCUUGAGAAUGUUCCAGAACUAGAUGGCUGCAUGUUGUACAGGUUCUCAGUGCCACCGGACGUGCUCCCGGGGUUGAUUCUGCCUGGCACCGUGGCACACGCCUUCAUCCCAGCCACUUGGGAGGCUGAGGCAGAAGGAUCACAAGUUCAAGGCCGGCCUCAGC